GUGAAGAGGGAAGAGCUCAAAUUUGAAAUCUGGCAGUGUUUUGCUGUCCGAGUUGUAAUCUAGAGAAGUGCUGCCCGUGCUGGACCAUGUACAAGUCUCCUGGAAUGGAGCGUCACAGAGGGUGAGAAUCCCGUCUUUGACAUGGACUGCCAGUGCAUUUGUGGUGUGCUCUCAAAGAGUCGAGUUGUUUGGGAAUGCAGCUCUAAAUGGGUGGUAAACUCCAUCUAAAGCUAAAUAUUGGCGAGAGACCGAUAGCGAACAAGUACCGUGAGGGAAAGAUGAAAAGAACUUUGGAAAGAGAGUUAAACAGUAUGUGAAAUUGUUGAAAGGGAAACGCUUAAAGUCAGUCGUGUCGGCCAGGGAUCAACUCAUUAUUAUCUGCUGGGUGUACUUCCUGAUCUGAUGGGCCAACAUCAGUUUUGACUGCUGGAGAAGGAUAUAGGGAAUGUGGCACCUUUGGGUGUGUUAUAACUCUCUGUCGGAUGCAUUGGUUGGGACUGAGGAAUGCAG
rnacentral:rRNA from 1 species